rnacentral:misc_RNA from 1 species
CGCCUUCUCAGUGUCACCCGCCUGGACAGUUUUAAGGCGCAGGCAGCUGAGCCUCCAUCGCUUGACGGCGCCUCAGGCACACCUUUAACAACUAUGGACUACACAAUUGAGCAUCAAUCUUAGUCCAAUUAGCUCUAUUUGUUAAAGUUAUAUCUAUGACAUUUUUAACCAAGUGGUCAUCAUACCCCUGCCUCAUAAACCAUAAUUCCACUGAUGCAGCCCAAGACAUAUAAUUUUGACUUUCUACUAAUUUAACAGUAGUAAUAGCUGGUGAAUU